rnacentral:rRNA from 1 species
GUAAGGGAUAUUGCGCAAUGGGCGAAAGCCUGACGCAGCAACGCCGCGUGCCCGAGGAAGGCCUUCGGGUCGUAAAGGGCUUUUAGGGGAGACGAGUAAGGACGGUAUCCCGUGAAGAAGUGUCGGCUAACUACGUGCCAGCAGCCGCGGUAAAACGUAGGACGCGAGCGUUAUCCGGAGUUACUGGGCGUAAAGGGCGGGCAGGCGGGCCGGCCAGUUGGGUGUGAAAUAUCCCGGCUCAACCGGGAGGGGCCACUCAAAACAGUCGGUCUAGGGGGCAGCAGAGGUGCGUGGAAUUCCGGGUGGAGUGGUGAAAUGCGUAGAGAUCCGGAGGAACACCAGAGGCGAAAGCGGCGCACUGGGCUGUAUCUGACGCUGAACCGCGAAAGCCAGGGGAGCGAACGGGAUUAGAAACCCGAGUAGUCC